GGAAUUGCUAGUAAUCGUAGGUCAGCAUACUACGGUGAAUACGUUCCCGGGCCUUGUACACACCGCCCGUCAAACCAUGAGAGUUGGCAACACCCGAAGUCGGUAGUCUAACCGCAAGGAGGACGCCGCCGAAGGUGGGGUUGAUGAUUAGGGUUAAGUCGUAACAAGGUAAC
rnacentral:rRNA from 1 species